UUGGCAGCCAGCAGAGAUGUUAUUUUAUUUACUUUCCUUCUGCAUGCAUGGAUUUGGAGCGGUGAGGUCGGGAGACGUGCGUGGAGGAGAUGAAUUUGCACACGUUGGCUCCCGUCGGCGGAGCGUGCUGUAGGUGGAGAAAAGCCCUGGAAAGGAGAGCUCUUCCUUCUUAUUAAUCUUAGGGGAGGAGCGCUUAAUGCUUUAUUAACCUUAAGGUUUCAGAGAACAGAUGGUUUGGGACUUGAAGAUCUUGCACUGAGACUGAGACGAGGCUGGUUGGAACACAAAAGUCAAUUAUUCCGACAGCACACAGCAGUAAAUGUUUCCAUUCCAUGGUGAGGUGUUGAUUUCCCAAUGGCACUGCAUGGAGCCAGCUGGUCCUGCUGAAGACUCCCUGCUCAGCCACAACAGUGGAUAGAUCCACUCAGGAGAAGUGGAGGAAGAAGAGGAUGGGCUGCUGAGAGGCUCUCCAGACGACUUGACUUUUUCCAUCAGUGCCUUGUUAACAUCACAGAUAAUUUUCUCCUGGAAAUAACCAGGAAAAAAAAAAUCAACUUGAGCCAAAACAGUUCAAGAGUUUAGAAAAACGAGCAAAGAGGGAGGGGGCAGCAGCUCCUUUGUGAGCAUCUGAUCCUGGUGUCAGCCCCUGGCAUCUUCCAUCCCUGUGGGGGAAAGAAAAUGUUUGGGCAUAAUAAAGAGAACAGAAUAACUUGCAAAACAAA